CCUACGGGAGGCAGCAGUGGGGAAUAUUGGACAAUGGGCGAAAGCCUGAUCCAGCCAUGCCGCGUGUGUGAAGAAGGCCUUCGGGUGGUAAAGCACUUUCAGUGGGGAAGAAAGCCUUGGGGCUAAUACCCUCGAGGAAGGACAUCACCCACAGAAGAAGCACCGGCUAACUCCGUGCCAGCAGCCGCGGUAAUACGGAGGGUGCGAGCGUUAAUCGGAAUUACUGGGCGUAAAGCGCGCGUAGGCGGUCUGAUAAGCCGGGUGUGAAAGCCCCGGGCUCAACCUGGGAACGGCAUCCGGAACUGUCAGGCUAGAGUGCAGGAGAGGAAGGUAGAAUUCCCGGUGUAGCAGUGAAAUGCGUAGAGAUCGGGAGGAAUACCAGUGGCGAAGGCGGCCUUCUGGACUGACACUGACGCUGAGGUGCGAAAGCGUGGGUAGCAAACAGGAUUAGAUACCCUAGUAGUC
rnacentral:rRNA from 1 species